GAUGAACGCUGGCGGCGUGCUUAACACAUGCAAGUCGAACGGAAAGGCCCAAGCUUGCUUGGGUACUCGAGUGGCGAACGGGUGAGUAACACGUGGGUGAUCUGCCCUGCACUUCGGGAUAAGCCUGGGAAACUGGGUCUAAUACCGGAUAGGACCACUUCUUGGAUGUUGUGGUGGAAAGUUUUUUCGGUGUGGGAUGGGCUCGCGGCCUAUCAGCUUGUUGGUGGGGUAAUGGCCUACCAAGGCGUCGACGGGUAGCCGGCCUGAGAGGGUGUACGGCCACAUUGGGACUGAGAUACGGCCCAGACUCCUACGGGAGGCAGCAGUGGGGAAUAUUGCACAAUGGGCGCAAGCCUGAUGCAGCGACGCCGCGUGGGGGAUGACGGCCUUCGGGUUGGAAACUCCUUUCGCUAGGGACGAAGCGUUUUGUGACGGUAUCUGGAGAAGAAGCACCGGCUAACUACGUG
rnacentral:rRNA from 1 species